rnacentral:lncRNA from 1 species
GACACCCGGAGCCCCUCUACCACCUGCCACACUGCAAGAUGGGUCCAGCUGCCUGGUGUGGGAGAGGGAUGAUGAAGGAUGAGUUCUCCAGCCUGGAGGAAGGGUUAAAAAGCAGAGAAAGGAUGAAACAGGAGGAUUGACAUUAGACUCCAAGAAGAACUUCCCGUUGCUAGGAUGCAGUAGAAGCUGGAAGAAAUUAGCAGGCGUCUUAGUGAGUUGAACUCUGCUGCGGUGAUUUCUCCCAUAGAAUUACAAAUGUCUUAACCUUCUUAGGCCUGAUUCUCACUUAAUUCCCACCUCGGGACAGGUGAUGGGCAAGCAGGCACCAUAGCCUUCACUCUGAAUUCUCUGCCUCACGCCAGUUUAAGCCCCAUGCUUUAUUUAUGUGAAUUUUGUUUUCAUGUAGACAUGUUACUCUCCUUGCUGUAGAAGGUGGUUCCCCAAACUGCUGCAAAUGUUCCUUGUCUGUAUAUUUUAUUCAUAUGGAUCCGUUAUUGGCCUAUCCCUUCCUGAAAGAGCUGAAAUUUGCCCUUGAGGCAUCAGAUGGAGUAGUCAAAUUGUCAAAUGUGUCUCCUAAUUGAAGUGAACGUUGGCACAAUAUUUGUCGACUGGAAAUAAACAGCCCCAGUGAAGUAGCAGGUUUACAACCUUCAUGUGCUUGUUCCGGUCUUGCUGAGAGUUGAGGGAGACGUGCAGAGAC